rnacentral:misc_RNA from 1 species
CACCGGCUGCUGCAGCAGCCGGUGUUUGUACAAUUCUAGCUACCAAAGGAAGAACCACUAAGUCUUCAGAUUUUGAAUCCAUCAUUGUGUUUCUUGAUCAGAGAGCAAAACACCGCUGGCAUUAACCGCGGCAGCAAUAUCAACACGUCCAUCGAUCAACAAGUAAGCCAUGCCUUUAAUUAUGGACUUCAACAAACAUGCAGCCUCGUACAACUUCCCGCCGCUUGCUCCACCCCCACUGAGCACCACAACAUCAACCCGACCCGAAAUCGCCUGGUCUAUCUCAUUGACAACUGUUUCAUCUCGCAAUACAUCUUCACAGCUCACCUUUAACACUAAACCCGGCACUUUGAUCUCCGGCCUCUUAAAUCCACCAGGGAAAAGAGUUCUAGGAGUUUGCUCGGGUCGGUUUACA